GAUGAACGCUGGCGGCGUGCUUAACACAUGCAAGUCGAACGGUGAAGCAGAGCUUGCUCUGUGGAUCAGUGGCGAACGGGUGAGUAACACGUGAGCAACCUGCCCCUGACUCUGGGAUAAGCGCUGGAAACGGCGUCUAAUACUGGAUAUGAGCUGCGACCGCAUGGUCAGCAGUUGGAAAGAUUUUUCGGUCUGGGAUGGGCUCACGGCCUAUCAGCUUGUUGGUGAGGUAAUGGCUCACCAAGGCGUCGACGGGUGGCCGGCCUGAGAGGGUGACCGGCCACACUGGGACUGAGACACGGCCCAGACUCCUACGGGAGGCAGCAGUGGGGAAUAUUGCACAAUGGGCGAAAGCCUGAUGCAGCAAAGCCGCGUGAGGGAUGACGGCCUUCGGGUUGUAAACCUCUUUUAGCAGGGAAGAAGCGAAAGUGACGGUACCUGCAGAAAAAGCGCCGGCUAACUACGUG
rnacentral:rRNA from 1 species